GCUACCUACGGGACGCAGCAGUGGGGAAUAUUGCACAAUGGGGGAAACCCUGAUGCAGCAACGCCGCGUGGGUGAAGGAGCGUUUCGGCGCGUAAAGCCCUGUCAGCGGGGAAGAAGAAAGACGGUACCCGACCAAGAAGCCCCGGCUAACUACGUGCCAGCAGCCGCGGUAAUACGUAGGGGGCGAGCGUUAUCCGGAAUUACUGGGUGUAAAGGGAGCGUAGACGGCGAGGUAAGCCUGAAGUGGAAGCCCGCGGCCCAACCGCGGAACUGCUUUGGAAACUGUGCAGCUAGAGUGCGGGAGG
rnacentral:rRNA from 1 species